UGCGGGGUGGAGCAGCCAGGUAGCUCGUCGGGCUCAUAAUCUGAAGGUCACAGGUUCGAAUCCUGUCCUCGCUA
rnacentral:tRNA from 1 species